CAGGGAGAGACAGAGAGGGAGGGAGACAGAGGGUCAGAAGCGAGCUCUGUUCUGACAGCAGUCAGCCUGAUGCGGGGCUUGAAUUCACUAACCUCGAGAUCAUGACCUGAGCCGAAGUUGGACGCUCAGCAGACUGAGCCACCCAGGUGCCCCCAAACGGACAGGUUCUAACCAACCGGGCUGUGACUUUCUUGGCGCAAAGAUUGUGUUUGCUCCUGUUUGCAGCUUCGCACAAAGGACAGACAGUAAAUUAAGACACAGAGGUACACAGACAGACGACCCUGCGAGGACCCGGGGAGCAGGCUGCCAUCCACGAGCUAAGGAGAGGGGCCUUGGAAGAAACCAACCCCAUUCACACCUCGAUCUUGGACGUCCAGCCUCCAGAACCGCGAGACAAACGUCUGUGGUUUGAGCCACACGGUCUGGGUGCCUGUGAUGGCAGCCACACGCUAAGACAACACUUUCAUCUGCCCCAUUCCCAACGCUGUCUUCCCCUCCUUGCUUGGUUUUUCUCCUUAGUCUCUAUUCCCACCUGGCAGAUCCGAUGUCUUAUUUAUCUGGUCCCUCGUCUGUCCCAAAGCGCCCUCCCUCCCGUGCCAACUCUACCUUGCUGGGCGCCCUUGGCCUCUGCAGACCACGCCUCCUCCAGACGGCUCCUCACUGUGAGGGGUGACACUGAGGCCUGGUGGGGUCUGGAGCCAGGGACUCCAGAGCCACACGGCCCCUGCCUGUCCCUCGUGUGACAUCGCAUAUGCUGACCUAUCCAAUCCUCUUUGCGCUGGCCUGGCCUUCUACUCAGCCACGUGUGGGGAUCUCUGAGCCAGAGUCGGGCUGAGGUCUGCUGGUUCCUGGAACGAAUACACCCCCAUGACUGGGCUCUUCCUUCGAUGCAGCCAAGGACGAUGCUGUAUUUUCUCUCCUCUCCAAAAAGGCACCUCUGUUUUCCAAAUCCGGUGGACCAGACUGUGCUAUUUACUCGCCAGCUUGUCUUUUUUUCCCCGGGGCUGCAGGCUGGCGGCUUCCAGGAGCAGAGGCCAGAAUGACUUGCCUCUCUUUUACAAAGGUGCUGGGGUCUCGCCCUCUUUCAUUCAGAGGCAGGGCCGGUGUCUGAUGGCUGAGGUGACGAGUGUUGCUAUCUUACCCUCUCAUUUUGGGGGAGUGGCGGGGGGGAUAGAAAGAGGCCCCAAAGAGGAGAGGACAGGGGCAUCGGACCUUGGAUCGGAUGAGCUCCCAGCUCUCUGUAGCUCUCCAAAUAAGCACUGAUGGUCCUGCCUCAGCCCUCCCCCCCUUUGGUAGAGAGGUUUUCACCCAUAUCUCUAGGGGCAGAAGGCCAUGGGUUGGGGUCAUGGUAUUUAAAAGCCACUGGCUGGUAGGCGCCUGAGGGCUUGGAACCAGCAGAAAAACCCCAGGGGCUGAUCUCCCUGUCCACCCCGCCCCCCAGCCAUUCCUUUCUCGGUGGAUUGCCACGGCCCUGACCUUGGCGGACAGUGGUGCUACGUGCCCUGCUUUAGUAACCUCCCCAUCCGAGCCCCAUGUCCCCCCCACCCCCCCCCCCCCCACCCCCUGAGCCCUGCCACACAGCCAUCGUGAACCUCUUCCAGCUACUGGAACUGCUCUUGCUCACCUCUGGGCCGUCACAUGUUCUGUUCCCUCUGACAAAACACUCUCCCCUGCCCUGUUUGGCUGUGUCCUAAUCCCCCAGCAGGUUUCGGCUUCCGUGGGAUACUCCCAAGUAUGGUCACCCUUGACCACCAUAAAUGGGUUAGAGGCCCGACCCCGUGCACCCCUGUAUCUCAGAAUGCCCCAGGAUGGCACAGGCAGGACCACAUGGGGCAGCCUCUGGGCUCAGCCACCUCCUCACCUGGUACGUCCGCUCUGCGAGGCCCAGGCCCGCGUGCUGUUUCUCUCUCCCCAGGGCCUGCACGCUGGAGUCAGUUGAUAACUAUUGGAUACAAGAAGCCCGUGCACCCAGUGCCAGGCACGGAGCUGGGCACGGGGACACAGGGCGUAACAAGAGACCCAGGAUUGGGGUCUCCUGGGGCUGGCUGAGGGAAUCAGGGAGUUACCGCACGGUCCCCACAGUGGUUUUACAUGGGACUCUAGGGUUCUUUCGCUGUCCACAGGUGUGAGGUGUGUUCCCACAAGAAGCACCCUGUCUUUGUGGGAAGGUGGGGUUUUCUGGCUCUCGGGUCCCGAGUCAGGGUCCGCUCGAAAGGCUGGGGUUACGGAGCACCUGGGGCCCGUCCUCUGGAAAGUAGAUAGGGAAGAACGAGCACAUUGCAAAUGACGGUGAACCCAAGGCGUUUUGUCACCUGGGUCUGCCCACGGGACUCCCGAGAGUUCCCCCGGGCGAGGGGCUCACUGGAGCUCCCCGCUUUCAGGGACUGUCAUCAACCCCUCCCCUCCCUGUGAUUUUGCUUUGCUUCCCAUGCAAUGAUUGUUUCCAAAGAACAUGUCAACCCGCAGUCGCACUUUUUGGUCUAAAAGCGAGAGCACUUCACGGCCCCUCCUGCAAGGGCUUCGGCAGAAUGUGAUAAAGAGGCCUUUGUAGCCGGUAAUUAAAGUGGAGGAACUCGCUGUAUUUUAUAGGCAAGUCCUCUGAGCUCUGUGUAACGUCCUGGGAGAAACCUCACAAUCGAUUCACGUUUAUAUGGGCCCAUUAAUCCGCCAAGCAUGGCGUUGACUUUGGUCCAUUCCAAUGACCCUGCUGUCCAGGUAAUAAUAAGCCUUUUCGGUCUCAUGUUCUUUUUGCUCCCACUUCUACUUUUUCGUAGGCAGAAGAGAAAACAAGCAGAGGAAUGAAACGCUCUGCACGACCCCCGCGUCAGAGCUGGUUUGGGUUUGGGUGGGCGG